GAUGAACGCUGGCGGCGUGCCUAAUACAUGCAAGUCGAGCGAACGGACGAGAAGCUUGCUUCUCUGAUGUUAGCGGCGGACGGGUGAGUAACACGUGGAUAACCUACCUAUAAGACUGGGAUAACUUCGGGAAACCGGAGCUAAUACCGGAUAAUAUUUUGAACCGCAUGGUUCAAAAGUGAAAGACGGUCUUGCUGUCACUUAUAGAUGGAUCCGCGCUGCAUUAGCUAGUUGGUAAGGUAACGGCUUACCAAGGCAACGAUGCAUAGCCGACCUGAGAGGGUGAUCGGCCACACUGGAACUGAGACACGGUCCAGACUCCUACGGGAGGCAGCAGUAGGGAAUCUUCCGCAAUGGGCGAAAGCCUGACGGAGCAACGCCGCGUGAGUGAUGAAGGUCUUCGGAUCGUAAAACUCUGUUAUUAGGGAAGAACAUAUGUGUAAGUAACUGUGCACAUCUUGACGGUACCUAAUCAGAAAGCCACGGCUAACUACGUGCCAGCAGCCGCGGUAAUACGUAAGUGGCAAGCGUUAUCCGGAAUUAUUGGGCGUAAAGCGCGCGUAGGCGGUUUUUUAAGUCUGAUGUGAAAGCCCACGGCUCAACCGUGGAGGGUCAUUGGAAACUGGAAAACUUGAGUGCAGAAGAGGAAAGUGGAAUUCCAUGUGUAGCGGUGAAAUGCGCAGAGAUAUGGAGGAACACCAGUGGCGAAGGCGACUUUCUGGUCUGUAACUGACGCUGAUGUGCGAAAGCGUGGGGAUCAAACAGGAUUAGAUACCCUGGUAGUCCACGCCGUAAACGAUGAGUGCUAAGUGUUAGGGGGUUUCCGCCCCUUAGUGCUGCAGCUAACGCAUUAAGCACUCCGCCUGGGGAGUACGACCGCAAGGUUGAAACUCAAAGGAAUUGACGGGGACCCGCACAAGCGGUGGAGCAUGUGGUUUAAUUCGAAGCAACGCGAAGAACCUUACCAAAUCUUGACAUCCUUUGACAACUCUAGAGAUAGAGCCUUCCCCUUCGGGGGACAAAGUGACAGGUGGUGCAUGGUUGUCGUCAGCUCGUGUCGUGAGAUGUUGGGUUAAGUCCCGCAACGAGCGCAACCCUUAAGCUUAGUUGCCAUCAUUAAGUUGGGCACUCUAAGUUGACUGCCGGUGACAAACCGGAGGAAGGUGGGGAUGACGUCAAAUCAUCAUGCCCCUUAUGAUUUGGGCUACACAUGUGCUACAAUGGACAAUACAAAGGGCAGCGAAACCGCGAGGUCAAGCAAAUCCCAUAAAGUUGUUCUCAGUUCGGAUUGUAGUCUGCAACUCGACUACAUGAAGCUGGAAUCGCUAGUAAUCGUAGAUCAGCAUGCUACGGUGAAUACGUUCCCGGGUCU
rnacentral:rRNA from 1 species